GGGAGGGUGGUAAAAUGGAAAAAAACACUGAAUUUGGAAUCAGAAGCGCUAGAUUCAAAUCCUAGCUCUGCUA
rnacentral:tRNA from 1 species